GGGGAAGCUCAGCAGGGGACGUGCUGUUUGGCCCAGUUGUCCUCUUCAGUGGGUAUAAGGAAGAACUGCUCAUGCAAAAGCCUUGAGGCUGAAAGACUUAUUUGGAGGUGAAAACUCUGCAGAGAACUACAUGGUAUUUGCUAGUGGGUGACAAAAGAUGUCACUUGAUUUGGAGAAUCUGAAAGCCUGAUCUUGCCCUGGCUGGAGGCUCUGGCAAAGAUCUGUUCUUUGUUGCCAGCAGCUUAGGAGAAGUUUUGAACAGAAGUCCUCCCAGCUGACCUGGUCUAGCAAGGAGUGCUUCUCCCCUGCAGCAGGCUUGAGAAAGUCCUGCUACCCUUCUGCCCUGGCUCUUCCUGACAGUCGUGGCCUUUGGAAAGCAGCUGACCCCGUGGCUGGCCAGGAGGCUGCGUUUCCUUCUGCAGCAGCGUAGGUAGCAGAAUGUGCCUGGUUUUCUGGUCCUGUCAUGGUUUAAGUGUGCAGGGAGCACUUUGUGGGCCCCACCAGUGGCUUCCUUCUGGGAAGGGCAACAGCACUUCAGAUUUUUAAAGGAAGCAGAAAGGGAGCAGGUAAAUGGGUAAGGCUGGCUUCAGCUAGGAAUUUAUUUACUUCACAGGUCUGCAAUGCUGCUUAAAAGUGGUAGCUCUGCUGCCAGCCCCCCAGAUCCACUGCUGAACUAAAGCUGGCACUUUUAUGUUGACUCUCAGCUGUGUUUCUGUCACCAAAGUGUCAGGAUUUGCACUUGCUCUCACAGCACCGUUGCAGAAGAGCCCUAACCCGGCCGCCUUUCAUCUCAUGGAAGUGAAGCUGAGCCUCGCUGUCUCUAGUGUUCCGGCAGCAGCUGCAGCCAGCCCCAGAGCACCCUGCAUGUCAAACCUUCAGACUUAAACCUUAAGUGAGCUCAGGCGAGUGGCUGCAGCCCUGUGCUUGCUGUUCUGAAAGAACCAGGGGCUGGGCUGUGCAUGGCUGUGUGUUACUUGUGGUCCUCUGCUCCACCACGAGCUGCCUGGCCCUCCGGAGCUGCUGCUGCCUGCGUGUUACAGGAAGGGGCUGUGGCUCUGCCUCCCCUUUGACAGCACCUGACAGAAGGGCUGUUUUCUAGAUACUACAAGGGAUUGUCAUGGCAUAGCAGGGUCAUGUAGCAUAAGGCGUACCAUGUUACUGGGGGCAGUAUCGUUACCUGGGCUAGUUGAGCAGAAGCAAAGAAUGAAGUAUCAAACACUAACACCUGGGGAAGCAGCUUU